ACGUAGGUGGCAAGCGUUGUCCGGAAUUACUGGGUGUAAAGGGAGCGCAGGCGGGAGAGCAAGUCAGCUGUGAAAACUAUGGGCUUAACCCAUAAACUGCAGUUGAAACUGUUUUUCUUGAGUGGAGUAGAGGUAGGCGGAAUUCCGAGUGUUGCGGUUAAAUGCGUAAAUAUUCUGAGGAACACCAGUGGCGAAGGCGGCCUACUGGGCUCUAACUGACGCUGAGGCUCGAAAGUGUGGGGAGCAAACAG
rnacentral:rRNA from 1 species